CCUACGGGUGGCAACAGUGGGGAAUAUUGCACAAUGGGGGAAACCCUGAUGCAGCGACGCCGCGUGAGUUCCGCCGUAUUUCGGUCUGUCCAUCUCUCUCAUCAGUGAAGAAAAUGACGGUACCUGACUAAGAAGCCCCGGCUAACUACGUGCCAGCAGCCGCGGUAAUACGUAGGGGGCAAGCGUUAUCCGGAUUUACUGGGUGUAAAGGGAGCGUAGGUGGCAUGGUAAGACAGAAGUGAAAACCCGGGGCUCAACCCCGCGUAUUGCUUUUGGAACUAUCAGGCUGGAGUGCUGGAGGGGUAAGCGGAAUUCCUAGUGUAGCGGUGAAAUGCGUAGAUAUUAGGAGGAACACCGGUGGCGAAGGCGGCUUACUGGACAGAAACUGACACUGAGGCUCGAAAGCGUGGGGAGCAAACAGGAUUAGAUACCCGGGUAGUC
rnacentral:rRNA from 1 species